rnacentral:rRNA from 1 species
AGCGAACGUUUGCGGCGGGCCUAACACAUGCAAGUCGAACGGUAGUCUCUUCGGAGAUGAGAGUGGCGCACGGGUGCGUAACACGUGGGUAAUCUACCUUUGAGUUGGGGACAACCUUGGGAAACCAGGGCUAAUACCCGAUAGUUCCUUUGAGGUGCGCCUUGGAAGGAUAAAGACCCGCAAGGGUUGCUCAGAGAUGAGCUCGCGGCCCAUCAGCUAGUUGGUGAGGUAAUGGGCUCACCAAGGCAAAGACGGGUAACUGGUCUGAGAGGAUGAUCAGUCACACUGGAACUGAGACACGGUCCAGACUCCUACGGAGGCAGCAGUGGGGAAUAUUGCGCAAUGGGCGAAAGCCUGACGCAGCCACGCCGCGUGAGCGAUGAAGGCCUU